rnacentral:rRNA from 1 species
AUUGAACGCUGGCGGCAGGCCUAACACAUGCAAGUCGAGCGGAUGAAGGGAGCUUGCUCCUGGAUUCAGCGGCGGACGGGUGAGUAAUGCCUAGGAAUCUGCCUGGUAGUGGGGGAUAACGUCCGGAAACGGGCGCUAAUACCGCAUACGUCCUGAGGGAGAAAGUGGGGGAUCUUCGGACCUCACGCUAUCAGAUGAGCCUAGGUCGGAUUAGCUAGUUGGUGGGGUAAAGGCCUACCAAGGCGACGAUCCGUAACUGGUCUGAGAGGGUGAUCAGUCACACUGGAACUGCGACACGGUCCAGACUCCUACGGGAGGCAGCAGUGGGGAAUCUUGGACAAUGGGCGAAAGCCUGAUCCAGCCAUGCCGCGUGUGUGAAGAAGGUCUUCGGAUUGUAAAGCACUUUAAGUUGGGAGGAAGGGCAGUAAGUUAAUACCUUGCUGUUUUGACGUUACCAACAGAAUAAGCACCGGCUAACUUCGUG